GACGAACGCUGGCGGCAUGCUUAACACAUGCAAGUCGAACGGAAAGACGCUGCCUGUUGCUGGUGCUCGAGUGGCGAACGGGUAAGUAACACGUAAGUAACCUACCCUUGACGUUAGGAUAACUUCAGGAAACUGGGGCUAAUACCCGAUAGAAGCUCCUGCUGCGGGGUGGUGGGUGGAAAGGUUAGGCGGAUGGGGAUGGUGUCGUGGCUGAUCAGCGUGUUGGUGGGGUAGUGGCUUACCAAGACUUCGAGGGGUAGCCGGCCUGAGAGCGUGACCGGCGCCCUGGCUACUGAGAUACGGACCAGAGGAGUACGGGAGACAGUAGUGGGGAAUCUUGUCCAACCGGCGCAAGCGUGGUGCAGCAACGCUGCGUUCGGGAUGAUCGCCUUCAGGUAGUAAAACGCUUUUGCCUGUGAAGGAGCGUGAAUGACGGUACCGGGUAAAUAAGCACCGGCUAACUACGUG
rnacentral:rRNA from 1 species